AUGAAUGUCAAGCCCGGCUCAAGGCCUAUUUUCAAGUUGAGGUUCAGUGGAAAAUCGAGACCUGAGCCAUGCCUGAACACCAGCCUAUCUAGCGGGGUUGCUCAUGUCAGGUCUAGUCGGCACAUACUCUACGUGGAAAAGGAAGGAACAUUCAAAUGCAUAGUGGGCUCCUACCCGGGCCUGUCAAUUCAAAGAAUUAUCACCUCCUUUUCUCUUCUUCAUUUCACACACUCCACUCACGAAGAAUCAGAAGCUAAAGCAUCUAAAGGAAAGGCCCCAGCUACAUCCUGCUACCCGCUGUUGGUGAACACUUGCAACAAAAGGGCCAUUCCUAAUAUCCCAUGGUUCCCGCCGGUGAUUGGUCGUGUGAAGCUGAAUACUGACGAGUCUGUACUCAACGGACAAGGUGGAGCUGGAAUGGUUCUGAGAGACCAUGUGGGGAGUAUCAUAUUCUGUUCAUGUCGCCAUUUGUCCUCUUGCGAUGACGUACUGGAAACCGAGAUCCUUGCUAUCAAAGAAGGUCUCAUGUUGGCCUCGCAAUGGAGCAGCCUCCCCAUAGACAUUGAAUCUGAUUGUCUUGAAGCAGUUAAGAUGGUGCAGAGUGAAGGAACUAGUCAUGUAAUGGCGAACUUUGGGAGAUCUCAAGCACGAACCGCGGUGUGGCUUGGAUCAGGUCCAGAGGAAGUCACUGAUAUUGUUCGUCGUGAUUGUAACACUUGA
rnacentral:rRNA from 1 species